rfam:Candidatus Yanofskybacteria bacterium RIFCSPHIGHO2_01_FTLL_41_21 rifcsphigho2_01_scaffold_127, whole genome shotgun sequence.
GCCGCUGUGGCGGAACUGGUUUUACGCAAACGACUCAAAAUCGUUCGGCCUCACGGCCAUGUGGGUUCGACUCCCACCAGCGGCA